rnacentral:rRNA from 1 species
AACGAACGCUGGCGGCGUGCCUAACACAUGCAAGUCGAACGAAAAAGGCUCUUCGGCUCCGAGUAAAGUGGCUCACGGGUGGGUAACACGUGGGUAACCUGCCUCUAAGAUUGGGAUCACUCGUCGAAAAAUGAGCGAAUACCGAAUAAGACCCCAGUUCCCGCGGGAACAGGGGUCAAAGGUAGCCUCUGCUUGCAAGCUAUCACUUAGAGAUGGGCCUGCGCACCCUUCGCUAGUUGGUGGUGUAGCGGCCUACCAAGGCAAAAAUGGUUAGCUGGUCGGCGAGGAUGGACGGCGGAACUGGAAAUGGGAACCGGUACAGACCCCAGAGGGAGGCAGCAGGGGGGAAUAGUGAGCAAUGGGCGAAAGCUGGACGCAGGAAGGCGGGGUGAGGGAUGAAGGACGUCGGGUCGUAAAGCGCUGUCGGGAGGAACGAAUGCUCCUGAGGUUAACAGCCUCGGGAGGUGACGGUACCUUCAAAGGAAGCACCGGCUAACUCUGUG